UACGUAGGGGGCAAGCGUUGUCCGGAUUUAUUGGGCGUAAAGAGCUCGUAGGCGGUUUGGUAAGUCUGGUGUGAAAUCUCCACGCUCAACGUGGAGGGGCCACCCGAUACUGCCAUGACUGGAGUCCGGUAGAGGAGUGUGGAAUUCCCGGUGUAGCGGUGAAAUGCGCAGAUAUCAGGAGGAACACCGAUUGCGAAGGCAGCUCGCUGGGACGUUACUGACGCUGAGGCGCGAAAGCGUGGGGAGCGAACAGG
rnacentral:rRNA from 1 species